rnacentral:rRNA from 1 species
CUUGUUGGUGAGGUAACGGCUCACCUAGGCGACGACGGGUAGCCGGCCUGAGAGGGCGACCGGCCACACUGGGACUGAGACACGGCCCAGACUCCUACGGGAGGCAGCAGUGGGGAAUAUUGCACAAUGGGCGAAAGCCUGAUGCAGCGACGCCGCGUGAGGGAUGACGGCCUUCGGGUUGUAAACCUCUUUCAGCAGGGAAGAAGCGAAAGUGACGGUACCUGCAGAAGAAGCGCCGGCUAACUACGUGCCAGCAGCCGCGGUAAUACGUAGGGCGCAAGCGUUGUCCGGAAUUAUUGGGCGUAAAGAGCUCGUAGGCGGCUUGUCGCGUCGGUUGUGAAAGCCCGGGGCUUAACCCCGGGUCUGCAGUCGAUACGGGCAGGCUAGAGUUCGGUAGGGGAGAUCGGAAUUCCUGGUGUAGCGGUGAAAUGCGCAGAUAUCAGGAGGAACACCGGUGGCGAAGGCGGAUCUCUGGGCCGAUACUGACGCUGAGGAGCGAAAGCGUGGGGAGCGAACAGGAUUAGAUACCCUGGUAGUCCACGCCGUAAACGGUGGGCACUAGGUGUGGGCAACAUUCCACGUUGUCCGUGCCGCAGCUAACGCAUUAAGUGCCCC